rnacentral:rRNA from 1 species
AUUGAACGCUGGCGGCAGGCCUAACACAUGCAAGUCGAACGCGUGGCGGACGGGUGAGUAAUGGCUGGGAAACUGCCUGAUGGAGGGGGAUAACUACUGGAAACGGUCGCUAAUACCGCAUACCAUCAGAGUUGCCCAGAUGGGAUUAGCUUGUUGGUGGGGUAACGUCUCACCAAGGCGACGAUCCCUAGCGGGUUAGAGAGGAUGACGAGCCAGACUGGAACUGAGACGCGGUCCAGACUCCUACGGGAGGCAGCAGUGGGGAAUAUUGCACAAUGGGCGCAAGCCUGAUGCAGCCAUGCCGCGUGUAUGAAGAAGGCCUUCGGGUUGUAAAGUAUUUUCAGCGGGGAGGCGUUACCCGCAGAAGAAGCACCGGCUAACUCCGUGCCAGCAGCCGCGGUAAUUC